rnacentral:rRNA from 1 species
UCUCCAGACUCCUACGGGAGGCAGCAGUGAGGAAUAUUGGUCAAUGGCCGCAGGGCUGAACCAGCCAAGUCGCGUGAGGGAUGACGGUCCUACGGAUUGUAAACCUCUUUUGUCAGGGAGCAAUUGGCGCUACGUGUAGCGUUAUCGAGAGUACCUGAAGAAAAAGCAUCGGCUAACUCCGUGCCAGCAGCCGCGGUAAUACGGAGGAUGCGAGCGUUAUCCGGAUUUAUUGGGUUUAAAGGGUGCGUAGGCGGAAUGCCAAGUCAGCGGUAAAAUCGCGGGGCUCAACCUCGCUCCGCCGUUGAAACUGGCGUUCUUGAGUGGGCGAGAAGUAUGCGGAAUGCGUGGUGUAGCGGUGAAAUGCAUAGAUAUCACGCAGAACUCCGAUUGCGAAGGCAGCAUACCGGCGCCCAACUGACGCUGAAGCACGAAAGCGUGGGUAUCGAACAGGAUUAGAUACCCGCGUA